UACGAAGGGGGCUAGCGUUGCUCGGAUUGACUGGGCGUAAAGGGCGCGUAGGCGGAUUGCUUUGUCAGACGUGAAAUUCCAGGGCUCAACCUUGGGGCUGCGUUUGAGACGGGUGAUCUUGAGUUCGGAAGAGGGUCGUGGAAUUCCCAGUGUAGAGGUGAAAUUCGUAGAUAUUGGGAAGAACACCGGUGGCGAGGGCGGCGACCUGGUCCGAGACUGACGCUGAGGCGCGAAAGCGUGGGGAGCAAACAGG
rnacentral:rRNA from 1 species